rnacentral:rRNA from 1 species
AGUCGUAACAAGGUUUCCGUAGGUUAAGUUCAGCCUACCAAAGCAGCCUGUAAAUGCUAGUUGGCUCAAACGCCAGCGACACGCCCAUCUUGCGGAAAAGCCCAUCUCAGGGAAACCCGCAGCUGCUACCCGGCAGUUCAGAGACUCAAUAGGCGUGGGUCUGGCGCAUAUCGCCAGGCUUGAGAUAGAGCCCGUCCUCACUGGCCACGGUGAGGAGCAAACGGAACCUGCGGAAGGAUCAUUA